rnacentral:lncRNA from 1 species
AAGGUUAGGUCCCCUCUCCUCUCCAUAUAUUUUUUUAUUGGCUUGCCCUAUUGAUAAGUAAUACUUUGUGAGGAGCAAGGAGUUGAUAAGUAAUACUUUGUGAAGAACAAGGAGGGGAAAAUCUUAGCUGCUAUUACAGUUAUUAUUCAUAUCAACAAUGACUUUCGCAGGUAUGAAUUCGUUUCUAUUAAUUUAUUGGAUUGUGAUUAUCGAUUCUUAACAUGAUUAAAAAUAAAUAUUAACACUUAGUCCCGUCUAGUAAGUGUAUAAAUGCAUAUACCGGUGAUGUUUUCUUUAUUUUCCGUUGAAUUGAAGAUUUUACUGGAGCUCUGUUACUUUUAUCUUUGAUAUAUUAGAUGUUGAAGACCACAUUUAAAUGGGUAGCGGUCAAAUUUCUUUGCACACG